UCAUUCUUCAUUUUGUUUAUUUUCUUUCUCUGCCGAGAACUACCAAGGGAAUGCCCAUUUUUCAUCUUUUUUUUCUCUACACCAAAAUUGCUUCAAAAUUUCACCUCCAAUCAAUUCCCCAUCUUCUCCCAACACCUUUCCAAAGAAGAAUUUGAAGAAAAGAAGGGAAAUCAAAGAGAAAUUUCAAGGUUGAGGGAGAGUGAAUAGUAACCUAAGGGUUUGGAAAGUUAAAGAAGAAGUGGAAGGGAAGAGUGGAAGUUCUAAAGGAAAAGGAAGAGAAAAGGAAGAUUAGAAAAUUUUAAGGUUUGUGCUCAACUUUGUUUGAAUAAAUUUAAGAAUUUGUUCAUUAUGUUUUAUUUGAACAUUUUACUACUCUAGUAGAAAUAGACCAAGAGAAGAAUAGUUUAAUUAUAAUGUUUAAUCAAAGUGUGAGAAUUAAUAGAUUUAAUAGAUAGAAAAUUUUAAAAUUAAUAUGUAAUUUAACCAAAAUGUAAGUUAUGGAUCUAAUGAAAUGACUCUA